GAUGAACGCUAGCGGCGUGCCUAACGCAUGCAAGUCGAACGGUAAGCCCUUCGGGGCCAAGAGUGGCGAACGGGUGAGUAACACGUAGGUGACCUACCUCUAAGAGGGGGACAACCACUGGAAACGGUGGCUAAUACCCCAGAUGUUGUAAAGAUUAGAAGGAUACAACUAAAGCUCCGGCGCUUAGAGAGGGGCCUGCGGUCCAUCAGCUAGUUGGAGAGGUAACGGCUCACCAAGGCAAAGACGGAUAGGGGGCGUGAGAGCGUGACCCCCCACACUGGUACUGACACACGGACCAGAUACCUACGGGUAGCAGCAGCGAGGAAUAUUGCGCAAUGGGGGAAACCCUGACGCAGCAACGCCGCGUGGAGGAAGAAGGCCUUCGGGUUGUAAACUCCUUUUGUGAGGGAAGAGAAAGGACGGUACCUCAUGAAUAAGGCCCGGCUAACUACGUG
rnacentral:rRNA from 1 species